UAUAACUGACGUGUACACGGUACAUUAUAUAGAGAACAGGUGUAGUACUGACAGAGGGGGCAGCUGGUGUCAUUAGUAACUUAGGUACAUGAGUAUAACUGACGUGUACACGGUACAUUAUAUAGAGAACAGGUGUAGUACUGACAGAGGGGGCAGCUGGUGUCAUUAGUAACUUAGGUACAUGAGUAUAACUGACGUGUACACGGUACAUUAUAUAGAGAACAGGUGUAGUACUGACAGAGGGGGCAGCUGGUGUCAUUAGUAACUUAGGUACAUGAGUAUAACUGACGUGUACACGGUACAUUAUAUAGAGAACAGGUGUAGUACUGACAGAGGGGGCAGCUGGUGUCAUUAGUAACUUAGGUACAUGAGUAUAACUGACGUGUACACGGUACAUUAUAUAGAGAACAGGUGUAGUACUGACAGAGGGGGCAGCUGGUGUCAUUAGUAACUUAGGUACAUGAGUAUAACUGACGUGUACACGGUACAUUAUAUAGAGAACAAGUGUAGUACUGACAGAGGGGGCAGCUGGUGUCAUUAGUAACUUAGGUACAUGAGUAUAACUGACGUGUACACGGUACAUUAUAUAGAGAACAGGUGUAGUACUGACAGAGGGGGCAGCUGGUGUCAUUAGUAACUUAGGUACAUGAGUAUAACUGACGUGUACACGGUACAUUAUAUAGAGAACAGGUGUAGUACUGACAGAGGGGGCAGCUGGUGUCAUUAGUAACUUAGGUACAUGAGUAUAACUGACGUGUACACGGUACAUUAUAUAGAGAACAGGUGUAGUACUGACAGAGGGGGCAGCUGGUGUCAUUAGUAACUUAGGUACAUGAGUAUAACUGACGUGUACACGGUACAUUAUAUAGAGAACAGGUGUAGUACUGACAGAGGGGGCAGCUGGUGUCAUUAGUAACUUAGGUACAUGAGUAUAACUGACGUGUACACGGUACAUUAUAUAGAGAACAGGUGUAGUACUGACAGAGGGGGCAGCUGGUGUCAUUAGUAACUUAGGUACAUGAGUAUAACUGACGUGUACACGGUACAUUAUAUAGAGAACAGGUGUAGUACUGACAGAGGGGGCAGCUGGUGUCAUUAGUAACUUAGGUACAUGAGUAUAACUGACGUGUACACGGUACAUUAUAUAGAGAACAGGUGUAGUACUGACAGAGGGGGCAGCUGGUGUCAUUAGUAACUUAGGUACAUAAGUAUAACUGACGUGUACACGGUACAUUAUAUAGAGAACAGGUGUAGUACUGACAGAGGGGGGCAGCUGGUGUCAUUAGUAACUUAGGUACAUGAGUAUAACUGACGUGUACAUGGUACAUUAUAUAGAGAACAAGUGUAGUACUGACAGAGGGGGGCAGCUGGUGUCAUUAGUAACUUAGGUACAUGAGUAUAACUGACGUGUACAUGGUACAUUAUAUAGAGAACAAGUGUAGUACUGACAGAGGGGGCAGCUGGUGUCAUUAGUAACUUAGGUACAUGAGUAUAACUGGUGUGUACACGGUACAUUAUAUAGAGAACAUGUGUAGUACUGACAGAGGGGGCAGCUGGUGUCAUUAGUAACUUAGGUACAUGAGUAUAACUGACGUGUACAUGGUACAUUAUAUAGAGAACAAGUGUAGUACUGACAGAGGGGGCAGCUGGUGUCAUCAGUAACUUAGGUACAUGAGUAUAACUGACGUGUACACAGUACAUUAUAUAGAGAACAGGUGUAGUACUGACAGAGGGGGGCAGCUGGUGUCAUCAGUAACUUAGGUACAUGAGUAUAACUGACGUGUACAUGGUACAUUAUAUAGAGAACAAGUGUAGUACUGACAGAGGGGGCAGCUGGUGUCAUCAGUAACUUAGGUACAUGAGUAUAACUGACGUGUACACGGUACAUUAUAUAGAGAACAAGUGUAGUACUGACAGAGGGGGCAGCUGGUGUCAUUAGUAACUUAGGUACAUGAGUAUAACUGACGUGUACAUGGUACAUUAUAUAGAGAACAGGUGUAGUACUGACAGAGGGGGCAGCUGGUGUCAUUAGUAACUUAGGUACAUGAGUAUAACUGACGUGUACAAGGUACAUUAUAUAGAGAACAAGUGUAGUACUGACAGAGGGGGGCAGCUGGUGUCAUCAGUAACUUAGGUACAUGAGUAUAACUGACGUGUACACGGUACAUUAUAUAGAGAACAUGUGUAGUACUGACAGAGGGGGCAGCUGGUGUCAUUAGUAACUUAGGUACAUGAGUAUAACUGACGUGUACAAGGUACAUUAUAUAGAGAACAUGUGUAGUACUGACAGAGGGGGCAGCUGGUGUCAUUAGUAACUUAGGUACAUGAGUAUAACUGACGUGUACACGGUACAUUAUAUAGAGAACAGGUGUAGUACUGACAGAGGGCGCAGCUGGUGUCAUCAGUAACUUAGGUACAUAAGUAUAACUGACGGGUACACGGUACAUUAUAUAGAGAACAGGUGUAGUACUGACAGAGGGCGCAGCUGGUGUCAUCAGUAACUUAGGUACAUGAGUAUAACUGACGUGUACACGGUACAUUAUAUAGAGAACAGGUGUAGUACUGACAGAGGGGGCAGCUGGUGUCAUUAGUAACUUAGGUACAUAAGUAUAACUGACGUGUACACGGUACAUUGAAAAGGGAGCGGCAGGAUUUGGGAGGUCAUCUAGACGUAGGUAUUAAAAGUUAACACAAGACAAAAUGAGGGAUUUAAUGAGUAGUUUGUUUAGUUUCUCGGGUAAUGAAAGGAUCAGUUUUAGAAUUGUUGCCCAGGUGUGCACAGCAUGAUUUAGGAAGCGCUUGUAUACAUAUUACUUUGGCAACACAUGUAAUAAUGUCACGCUAAUAAAGUAUUCCUGACUUAACUCUACUUGUAUAUGCGGAGUAAGUGUCCAGAUUGUCACCAAGACAGCGGACAUGGGACAAUGUAUAGAGAAAGGUAAAGGAAAUAUCAGGUUACGGUGUCUAUUAGAGGGGGAUACGAACAGGCUCCAUUUUAGAGAGAUUUUAAACAGAUUGAGUUGGAGGUAGUGAUAAGACAUCCAAGAGGAAAUUGCAGAGAGAUUGAUGGUAAAGAAGGAGCGAUAUCAGGAGAGGAAAGAUAGAUUUGGGUAUCUCCCUCAUAAAGUGGUACUGUAACCCGAUAGGAAACAGCAAGGGAGAGAAACAGGAUAGGAAGUUAUAAAGGAGCAGUAAAUAGGAAGCCCCCAGGAGAAGCUGUGUCCGAUACUAAAAAGAAUGAAGAAUUUGUUUGCGGACAGGAUGGUUAAUGGCGUGUAACGGUAGAUCUAGAACGGUGUCCAUGUUAAUCCAGUGUACCUUAUAUUCAGCAACUGGCCAAGUUUACAACAACUAUUUUAUGUAUAAAAAUCUCAUCUUCAAAUAUCAAUUUAACUGCAAGGCUCAUUAUUUCUCACUGGAUACAAUAUAACAAGAUGUGAGAUCAUCUUGUACUGGAACAUUCAUCAAUUUCUUAUAUUUAAAGCAGUGUGUGUAGGUGUGCAUGUGUGUGUGACCGAGUGCAUGUGUCUGUGUGUGUGCGGCCGAGUGCAUGUGUCUGUGUGUGUGCGGCCGAGUGCAUGUGUCUGUGUGUGCGGCUGAGUGCAUGUGUCUGUGUGUGUGCGGCUGAGUGCAUGUGUCUGUGUGUGUGCGGCUGAGUGCAUGUGUCUGUGUGUGUGCAGCUGAGUGCAUGUGUCUG